rnacentral:misc_RNA from 1 species
AAGUCGUAACAAGGUUUCCGUAGGUGAACCUGCGGAAGGAUCAUUAUUGAAAUAGCACGACGGGAAGCUGUUGCUGGCCCUAGUGGCCGUGCACGCUUUCUGUCCUUCAUUUCUCCAUCUAUUUGUGCACCUCUUGCGUAGACCCCUCUGUUAGGACUGCUUUGCAAAAUUGAUUGUGGGCUUUCCUUGUUUCUACGUCGUCAUAUACACCAGUGUAACGAUUUGGAAUGAAUGGAAUUUUGAUGCAAUAUAUAUAAAGCACAACUUUCAGCAACGGAUCUCUUGGCUCUCGCAUCGAUGAAGAACGCAGCGAAAUGCAAUAAGUAAUGUGAAUUGCAGAAUUCAGUGAAUCAUCGAAUCUUUGAACGCAUCUUGCGCUCCUUGGUAUUCCUAGGAGCAUGCCUGUUUGAGUGUCAUAAAUAUCUCAACCGCACCCUAUGGUGGUGUGGCUUGGAUUUGGGGGUGGCAGGCUUAGUCUGCUCCCCUGAAAUACAUUGGCGGUGCCUGACGUGAUGUGAUAAAUUAUCCGCAUCUGUUUAUGAGCUGCCGUGUCGUGUUGGAGUUGAUAAACUUGACCUCAAAUCAGGUAGGACCACCCGCUGAACUUAAGCAUAUCAAUAAGCGGAGGAAAAGAAACUAACCAGGAUUCCCUUAGUAACUGCGAGUGAAGUGGGAAGAGCUCAAAUUUGUAAUCUGGUGGCCCUUGGCCAUCCGAGUUGUAAUCUAAAGAA